GACCCAAUGGUACAGCGGUUAGUGCGCCUGCUCAAAGUUGUCCACUCAACCUUGCGCAAGCAGGAGACCCUUGUUCGAAUCGGGGUUGGGUCA